GUGCAGUCUCGACUGCUAACUACAUGACAUUGCAGAAAUGAAGGGAACCAGGUUUGCUAAAAUAAUUGUGGUGAUAGAAAUGUAUUAGCCUCAGAAACCAGGGAGGUGGUCCAUUCUAUCCUAGUACGGUG